rnacentral:ncRNA from 1 species
CUUGAACAGAUAAUCACACUUAAGUAACAAAAUUUUAUCUGCUAAAGUGACUGAUUAGUGGCUUUAGGGUCGGAACAAUCUUAACCCAUUCCCAAACUUCAAAUGGUUGUGAACAUCACAUAUUUAGAUAUGUUAUAUAUUGUGCAAUUUUAGUAUGAAGAAAUGACAUUGUGGAAUGAACCAAAUGCAAUAGGUUAUGAUACCAACAUUUACAACUCAUGCAGAUACCAUGAAUGGCAUUACUUGCUUAAAACAACAGGAUGAUGCAUAUAAAAACAGUAAUUUGCUAAAGAGUGUGAAACAAUACUGAAGCCCUUAAAAUUCAAAUAAUUGAAUCAGAUCUUAUAGGACUAAAGUGGAG